GUGGGGAAUCUUGCGCAAUGGGCGAAAGCCUGACGCAGCCAUGCCGCGUGAAUGAUGAAGGUCUUAGGAUUGUAAAAUUCUUUCACCGGGGACGAUAAUGACGGUACCCGGAGAAGAAGCUCCGGCUAACUUCGUGCCAGCAGCCGCGGUAAUACGAAGGGGGCUAGCGUUGCUCGGAAUUACUGGGCGUAAAGGGCGCGUAGGCGGACAGCUUAGUCAGAGGUGAAAGCCCAGGGCUCAACCUUGGAAUUGCCUUUGAUACUGGCUGUCUUGAGUUUGGGAGAGGUGAGUGGAACUCCGAGUGUAGAGGUGAAAUUCGUAGAUAUUCGGAAGAACACCAGUGGCGAAGGCGACUGACUGGACAAGUAUUGACGCUGAGGUGCGAAAGCGUGGGGAGCAAACAGGAUUAGAAACCCUAGUAGUCC
rnacentral:rRNA from 1 species